AUGUUUACUUUGCGACUAUAAUUGUAUUAAUAUAAAUAAUAGGGGCAAUUGCUUAUAUACUUCUAAAAAGUUUUCGACUUUCCGAUUUACCCCUCUUAGAAGGCUAAUAUUGAAAAUACUAUUUCUAUGUUCCAACCUAUUUCUAAUAUACCGCUAGAGUUAAAAUCUGUUAAUGAACUAUGUUAUCUCUGUAAAAUUACUAUUUUGCUCUUUCAAACAUACCCUUCGAUCAUUACUGACUUUCUUAUUUGCCCUUAAAGUCAAGGGCACAAAAAGUAUUUUGACUUUUAGUCUUUUCCAAUAUAUUCCUCUACCGUCACCAACAUUUCUUAUUUGCCCUUAAGUUAAGGGCAAAAUUGACAUUUUAUUUUUUUUUAACUGUGGUAGAUAUUUAAUUCACGUUUAACUCAAGUUAACUUAAUAGGAGAUAACUAAGGGAGUAUUUUGCAAUAACGGUGAAACAUAUGAGGGGUAUUUUAGAAAGAAAAAAAAGAAUAAGGAUAAAUCAGAUAUUUUCAAACGUAUGAGGAGUAUAUAGGCAAUUAUCCCUAAAUAAUAAUCUUAAAUUUUAUAAUAAAAAAAUAUUAAGUGACUUAAAUUAAAGAAGAAUUAAAUACCAAAAUU
rnacentral:lncRNA from 1 species